rnacentral:tRNA from 1 species
AGAAAUUUAGGUUAACCUAAACCAAGAGCCUUCAAAGCCCUAAAAAAGAGUACUAACCUCUUAAUUUCUG